AUUGAACGCUGGCGGCAGGCUUAACACAUGCAAGUCGAGCGGAGAUGAGGUGCUUGCACCUUAUCUUAGCGGCGGACGGGUGAGUAAUGCUUAGGAAUCUGCCUAUUAGUGGGGGACAACAUUCCGAAAGGAAUGCUAAUACCGCAUACGUCCUACGGGAGAAAGCAGGGGAUCUUCGGACCUUGCGCUAAUAGAUGAGCCUAAGUCGGAUUAGCUAGUUGGUGGGGUAAAGGCCUACCAAGGCGACGAUCUGUAGCGGGUCUGAGAGGAUGGUCCGCCACACUGGGACUGAGACACGGCCCAGACUCCUACGGGAGGCAGCAGUGGGGAAUAUUGGACAAUGGGGGGAACCCUGAGCCAGCCAUGCCGCGUGUGUGAAGAAGGCCUUAUGGUUGUAAAGCACUUUAAGCGAGGAGGAGGCUACUGAGACUAAUACUCUUGGAUAGUGGACGUUACUCGCAGAAUAAGCACCGGCUAACUCUGUGCCAGCAGCCGCCGUAACAC
rnacentral:rRNA from 1 species